rnacentral:rRNA from 1 species
UAAAAAAUAGGUUAUUUUAUUUAAAUUAAGUUAGUUUAUUUAGUAAAAAAUUGUACUAAUAAAGUUUGAUUCUUGUUUUGAUUUUUUUUAAUUUUUUAUUUUAUAUAUGGAAUUUUUUUAAAGAUUAAUUUUGUAGUAAAUAAAAUUAUAUGUAAAGUAAUAUUUGAUGUAGUAAAAAAUAUAGUUCUAAGAUAAGUUGUGCCAGCACUUGCGGUUAUACAAUUGGAGCAAAAAAAAAUUUUUGGUAAAAAGAAAUUAAUUGAUGAAUAAUUAAGUUUAAAUUUAUUUAAAUAUUAGGUAAAAUUUAAGUUAAAUUUAUUUAAACUAAGUAAUUUAAAAAUGAAGGUUUUAAAAAUAAUUUAAUAAACCUGGAUUAGAUACCCAGUUAUUUUUAUUGUAGUAAAUUUACCAGAUUAGUAUAAGGGAUCUAGAAAUUUAAGGGAUUUGGCGGUAUUUUAUUCUAAUUAGAGGAACUUGUCCUGUAAUAGACAAUACACUAUAAGAGUACUUUUUUUUGUAAAUCAGUUUGUAUAUCGCUGUCGUCAGAAAACUUUUAUUGAUAGUGUUUUCUUUUUGUAUUAACUACAAGACGUCAAGUCAAGGUGCAGCAAAUAAAAAAGAAUGAAUGAUGAGUUACAAUAAAAAUAUUUAUUUAUGAAUUUUAAAUUGAAAGUUUAAAUGAAGGUGGAUUUAUAGGUAAAUUCUUAUAAUUUAGAAGGAUUGACUAAUAGCUCUAAAAUAUGUACACAUCGCCCGUCGCUCUCAUAAAUUAAUUGAGAUAAGUCGUAACAUAGUAGGUGUAUUGGAAAAUGUACCUAAUUUAAU